UAAAUCAAUGGACUUCUUAUUCUCUAUAUAUAAGUGAGGUUAUUUAGUCAUCAAAUCAAUGUGCAUGGUUCCACUCUCACCGUCCCUCAGCUCUGCAAAUCAUUUGCUUCAUUUUCUACAUGUCUUGGACUAAGCCUCACGUUGAAUUGAGGAGCUUCCCAGUGUAUUCGGAAACUGGUCCUUCUACGUUACCUUAAUCUACAUGUUUUUGUGUUUGGACAAAUGAGGAAAUGAUUCUGAUUUUUAUUGUUUUGGUAUAUUGGUUCAUGUUUGAGUGUGAAAA